GCCGCCAGUUCUCGUCAAGCACGCGGCCCCUCCGCCUCGUCUCCUCCCUACUCCCUCCUCUCCCACGCCGCCGCCCUCGAGCCCGCGCCGCCUCCACCUCAUCUCCUCCCCGCUCCCUCCUCUACAACGCAGCGCCCUCGAUGCGCUGUAAGGAGCAGGGCAACGGAUUGGAUCGAGGGCGCCCUGGCCUCGCCGCCGCUGCACCUGGAUUCGCUGGCCGCCGCGUCGAGUCACCUCCGUCGCCGUCGCGAGUCAGCUCCACCGUUGCCGCCAGGAAUCCCUUCCCGACAAGGAAAAUUCCUAGGGAUUUGAUUGAUGGAGGCAUCACUAUUUGGCGCUGGAUUAUCCAUUUUUGCAGCACCAGCAAUGUUGUUUUUGUUUGGAAUGGCCAGUUCUCAAUUUCUAAAUCGGCUAUACUAUACUUCUUGUCAGGUUACAUUAUCUUGCUUGGUUUCAGUCUAUAUGUAGCACAAAAAUAGGUGACAUGGUUGGUUUGUAUGUUACACUAAGGAACACCACCAUAAGGAUAAGGGCAUUGCACUUCUUUGUUUAUAUUUGGUCUGUUCCUAUUUGAUUUGCUGUAGUACUUAAUUGCUACACCAUUUCAAGUUUCUUACUAUUUGCUUCUUGCUGUUUCAUUGUAUUCAGUUAUGAUAUAUUUUUCAACUAUACAAGCACUUGGGGAAGUCAGGAAAACUGAACCAAAGACAAACACUUUUACUGAUGAUGUUGGGGCUUUUUUUAACUGAGAUGUGAAAGAUGCAUCUUAUCCCCUGAGAUAUAUUGCCUUUAAUCUCUUGAUUUUUUCCCUGACAUGCUAAUAUAGAGCCAGAUAUGCAUGAUUCAUCAUACACAUUACAACCAAUUAUCCAUUGGUUCUUUUGUCCAUAGAGGUGAUUUUGUUUGGACCAUUAGUCUAGGUAGUGACAUUUUGAUCGAUAAGGCACAAGUUUAUUUUCUUUUUCACUCGGGCUACACUAAAGUAAGCAUAACUGUCAGUGAAAUGAAGGCAUACAAAUCAUGAAGUUUUUGCCUUGGCUGUGUGCCUCGUUUAGUUGUCACUUAUUUAUUUCUGGGAAGUUAUUCAAUUCUCAUUGAGCUUUCCUUAUGCUUUCCAUUGCUAAAGAAGAAAUUUAAAUACGCAAUAUUUUAAUGUCUGAGGAGGCGAGAGGAGAUGAAAAAGGGCUGUAAGGUUGUACUUUGGUGCUUCUCUGGCCAAUGAUGGCUGGAUCCAUCUGACGCUCUUCCAAGCAGAGCAGUGCAGAUUUGCUGACUGAGCAGCGGAGAAACAUGUUUCUACAAAUGUGCCAAAACUAAUGGAUUUAACUACAGGAUGGAGCAGCAGGCAUAGAUGAAAUCUACUGCCAAUUUCUAUUGGUUGCGGCAUCUUCCGCUGAGUAACUCUACAAAACAGCCUGCUAGCAUUGAUUCUUGCAAUAAAAAAAGUCUGGCAUCAUUCAUAAAAAGCUUAUAGACAUAGAUAAUUUCUUAAUCCUGCACUGCUUCUCACCAGUGAGAUUGUAGAUGUGGUAUUUUGAGAAUACCAGUGUAAUUCACUGGUCCAAAAGCUCCAUUUCUUAAUGUGUUUUUGCAGAAUGCUACCAGUAAUGUUUUUCUUUUCCUUAAUGUACAAACAUAUCUACUAGAUAUGAUUUUGGAUCUGAACUUUUCCCUGUCUGCAGCUCACAUUGUGGUAUGGUCAUGGUACAGCAAAAGGAAAAGAUGUUUAAACUUUUUUUGGGCGUCAUACAUGAAAAGUACCUUUAUUUCCAUCGAGCUUAAUUACUAAGAAAAUGUUACCACUAUUUCCUUACUAAUAAACCUAAAUGUUCUGAAAGUUCGGUCUCUUGCUCUCUUUGCUUAUGAAUCGGACACUUUCCCUUUCUUUAGUCCUUACACGGUUCCACCUCGCUUUGACGUCAUACUUUGAUGGUGUUUGUAGGUAUGAAGACUUGAAGAGUGGUCAUAAUGUUACUUAAAGGAGGCCUCAACUUGCACCAAAUACAUGGGCAUGUGCAACAGCAACUUAUGUAGGUUUCUAAAAACUAAUAAAUGCUGCUCUCAAAUCAGUUAGGAGGCUGAAGGUAGUAGCUUACUGAACUCUCAUUUCCGGAAAAAUUUGGAGAUGUCUUGUUUGUACAAUCUCUAAAGAUGGUGCUCCAUUGUUCUGUUAAUCAAGAUUUGUUCCCUCCUUUCUUACUAGCUGAUACGUGAUGCCCGUUUGCAUGGGGGGGUUAUGUUAACUAUAUUCUAUUCAUGAUUCAAACUGUUUGUUGGGUAAUUUAGUUUAGACAUUGUGUCCUGAGAAUCUUGAUAUCUAGCUGUAUCGGUAUAGUAUAGUUUGUGAUUUUUCCCUCUGAAUUGAUAUAUCCACUCAGGUUGGGAUAGGUUAUGAGUAUUCUUAGUGUGGAAACAGCGGCAGUGCUGCACUUUCAUCAGAUGAUGAUAUGCCAACCUUGCGCCAUUUGGCUCUAUGUUACCUGAAAAAGAUAACAAAAUA